UUACAGGCUUGAGCUACUGCGCCUGGCCCAUUUUUCUUAAAGAAAGCUCCUGAAGCUACCUAAGGCCCAGGCCCCGUGAAACGUGGACCAUGAUGGGAGCAGAUCACAGGGAGCUGCCACCUUCUCCAAGUCUCUGCUGCUUCCAAAUGCGACACCCCCAGGGCGUGCUCUGGAGGGAUGGGAGGAGACAGUUUCUCUCCCAGGGCAGCAGGGCAGGGCAGCGAUGGAACCCGCCGGCCUCAGCCACGGACCCUGGGGGUUGAGUUCCCAAUGGCUUCCUCAGCCAGGGCCAGCAAGAAGAUGCUCAUUAGAGGCAGCAAUGACGGGGCAUCUUGGAGUGGCCCUAGUCAGGACGUGGUUGAGAGGACUCCACAACAGCAGGGGUUGCUACACCCAGGCUCCAGGCUGCUGGGUCCUCCACCGAGGCCCAGGCAGGAGUGGACGAGGGUGGGCGGCCUCCCCACAACACCUGCCAGGACUCACAGCUGCCUCUUCCCUGGAACUUUGAGUGCCAAGGUCACACGUGGGGACCUUACUAUAUGCUUCAUGGGCCUUACAGUUUCCGUCGCAAGUAUGGGGCCAUGCUCCAAUAAAACUUUAUUCACAGAAGCAGGCAGAGGGCUGGAGCUGCCUCAGAUAGCACAGCCCUCCCCUGGCUGAGACACCUCCCACAUCAUCAGACCAUGUUGCUCUUGGGUCCCUCAGAGCACAGUCCUGGCAGCAUCUUCCUAGGGCUCCCGGCUCAGUCUGUGCAGCUCUGGGGACGGAAACUGUGUGUACUGACCUCAGAGAAGCCCUCAGGGACUGGUGGGUUCUGGGUGGUGUGUUCCUGGUUCUCUUUGGGUACUCUGCGAGCCAGCCUGUGUGAGCUAGUGGCUCAGCGAAGGGGCAGCGGGUGGGGGCAGCCAGGGGCCAGGGCGGAAAGAGGGCCCUGGGUACCACGAGUGGUCCUCGGACAUCUCCAGUGUGGAGGGAGGGGCCCCAGGCACCCUUGUGAGUGGUCCUUGGACACCUCCAGGGUCAGGGCAUCACUGCCCUGUCUACAGUGAAACACACAGUGUAGAAAGCAUUGGAGCACAGAUGCCCCUGCAUCAGGCAUAGGGAUGCAUGUCCUGGCCUCGAGUAAAAUGAGGCAGUGACAGGACGGUGGCCCAGGCCCCUGCAGCACCCAGGCAGCACGUACAGUUCGGGCCAGGACACGCGUCUCUUGCACCAGAGACCAGAAGGCCUGUGAAGCCUGCAGCAUUUACUACCCACGCUUGGCAGGAACAGCCGCCCACCUCUGGGUAGGAGAAAGGAGGGGUCACUCAGCACGAGGGAGGCAAGUCAGGGAGGUGAUCCAAGUGACGGACCCCGGAGUCAGGCCGGGUCAUGAACUCCUGGUGCAGGAGGCAGGAUGGACGAACAGGACGCCCGUGGCGCUGGAUACAUAACCACGACUGCACGCACCUGCUCCCGUGGGCAGAAGUGGAAGGAGUGAGAAGACUUUUGUACAAUGGGAUACGGAAGACACGUUCGACCGGAUGCGUAACCAUGACCACGUGCACCCGCUCCUGUGAGCAUCAGCGUGCAGCCCAGGCCAGAUGGAGUCCGAGCAGAGAUGGUAGAGAAAGCACCCUUUGGAAAGGAGUGACAGCAGAUGGACCCCACGUGGCUGAGCCUGGGGGCACAGUGCACAGAGGGCGAAAGAGGCAGCGACACUGGCAGGCAGCCAGCUCUCGGCGUGGACUGACACUUCAGCCCCUCUGGGAAAAGCAGUCUCAUUCAAACAAGCUGGAGCCUUAGGAGUGGCCGCUCCACUUUCCCGCCGGGCUGCGAUGUGGUGCUGACCCAGCGUGGCACACAGAUCCCUUGUGUCCCGGCUGGACGCUGGCCCGGUGGCCGUGGCCUAUGGAGCAGGCUGCGCGGUGCAUGAAGCCAGCACGGCCCUGGAAAUCGCGUGCAACAAAAAGCCUCUGUUCCACUCAGACGUGCUCUGAGCAGACAGGGCCCCCCGAGGCUGGCGGCGAUGGACGCACAGAUGGGGCCCGGAGAGAGCAGGCUUUAAUUAGGUCAGCCCCGGGGUGCGGGGAGCAGACAGCUCUGCUGGGCUUGGCCGGGCAAAGAGGCGUCCUGAGCCUGGAGGAGCUUCAAGAGUUUACGGGAUGCUCAGGAGCCUCCCCGACUCCGCCUUUUCCUCACAUCCUGAAGUGCAUGGAGCCGGUCCUCGGGUUCCGGGCAGUGAGCACUGGCACAGGCGGGCUCUCCUCUGCCAAAGAGGGUACCAGGAGGACCCCCAUGGCUUACAGCCGCCACGGCUUAGGGCCCCCAUGACUAGAGCCCUCACCACUUUAAAGCCCCCCAUUCCUGUGGAUUUUGGGGAACUGUCUCCUUCAGUUGCCAGUCUUUGUGGCUCUGUGAUCUGAGCUGUCUGGACGGUCCCUGGAUAGAAACGCCCAGCCCCACGUUUCCUCUGCAGCCCAUUGAUGGGGGAAGUGGAGUUCUGCAAGGCUCUGGUGGGCCUGGAUGCUGAGCCUGCUGAACCACAGGGGCUGUUCUGAUCACCUCCUUUCUGUGCACGCUGUUGGUGACGGGGACCCGCUGCCCUCAGUAGCACCAGAUGUCCGAGUGCCCAGCACCCAACACUGGGCAGCAAGAGCAUCAGCAGUUCACAGUCACAGGUGCUGGCACACGGGUGGAAGGCGGCCCACUCCACUCAGGGACCGGGUGAGCCCCCGGAGGCUGCGUGGCCUUGCGGUGACCGCCCGCAGGGUGAAAGGGCCCUGGCUCUGUGGGGCAUGGGGCGGGCUGUUGGGAGAAUCCUGUGGCUGGCCAGGAUCUGAAGCCCAGUGUAGUGGGGGACAUCUCAUGAGGACAGUGGCUCCCAGGAGGCCUCCAGAGACUGGGAGGCCUUUCAUCAUGGGGCUCUUACUGGCCACAUGGUCCCGCUCAAAUGAACGCUCUGAAAGUCUCAGCAUGAGUCUCAGUGCAGGAAACUGCUGUGCUGGAGGUGAGGGCACCUGGGGCCCAGGGGCACAGGAAGGGCCGAGCGCCACCUCCCAGGGCCCGCAGCUGUAACACCGAUCCUCACAGCCCAAAAGGUUUUCUGUGUAGGUGGGUUUUAAUUGGAUGUCUGGAAGUAGGCGAGGUUGUGUCUGAGCUUGGUAAUGAGAGGCAGAGUGAAAGGGAGGGACAUCUUGGAGGUGACUUUCCUGAUGCCAGGUGUGUGCCAAACAAAACUCCACAGGCCUGACCACGCCUGACAAGGGCACAGGGCAGCCGAGGUCAAUGGUGGUCCUGCUGUGGGGUUACUGGGUGUCCUUGAUCAAGGUGUUGGGCGCUCAGCACCUCGGCUUCCUUCCCUGCAAGGUGAGGGGCUUGGUACCCCAAAACCCCAGUGCAUUUAUGAAUUUUAACUAUUCUACAAGGCUGUGGCCAACAUGUAUGCUUCGGAGGCUGGGCCUGAAGGCAACGCACCAGGCACCUGGCAGAAACCAGCCAUGUGGUGGAGGACAGGUGUGUGCGGGGAGGCGCCCCUGUGCCAUGCUCAUUAGAUUGUGACGGUGGCUUGUUACCAGCUUGUUUUACUUCAAGAUGCUUCACUACAUAAAGAUUUUCAAUUAUAAGACAGAUGGAGUUGAAAACUGACUUUU